rnacentral:rRNA from 1 species
CCUACGGUGUGCAGCAGUGAGGAAUAUUGGUCAAUGGACGCGAGUCUGAACCGGCCAAGUAGCGUGAAGGAUGACUGCCCUAUGGGUUGUAAACUUCUUUUAUAUGGGAAUAAAAUGUUCCACGUGUGGGAUUUUGUAUGUACCAUAUGAAUAAGGAUCGGCUAACUCCGUGCCAGCAGCCGCGGGAAAAACGAGGAUCCGAGCGUUAUCCGGAUUUAUUGGGUUUAAAGGGGGCGUAGGUGGAUGGUUAAGUAAGUUGGGAAAGUUUGCGGGUCAACGGUAAGAUUGCAGUUGAAACUGGCAGUCUUGAGUGCAGUAGAGGUGGGCGGAAUUCGUGGUGUAGCAGUGAAAUGCUUAGAUAUCACGAAGAACUCCGAUUGCGAAGGCAGUUCACUGGACUGCAACUGACACUGAGGCUCGAAAGUGUGGGUAUCAAACAGGAUUAGAUACCCCUGUAGUC